GCUCCAGGCCCUCAUCGCUGGGGCGGCGCCAUCUUGAAUGAGCAAUGUUUUACUUGGAAAUUUUGGACACUGUGGACGCCAUCCAGGCUCUAGAGGGAGAAUUUCUUCAAAUGAAAGUUACUGUGGUUACUGAUAUGAGCUGAUCUUCUUCACAGAAAAAGUUUGCCAAAUGCUGGUCUAAAGGAACUUGAGCUCCAAGAAUUAUAUAUGGCAAGCAGCAGGAAAAUUUAAAUUCUUAAUUGCCAGAUAAAAGGCAUGUGUAACUGAAAAUUGGAACUUCCAAUGACCUUGUAUUAAAAACCAGCGUUACUGCCCUGCGCUGACACAAUCCCUGGUCAAAGCAAAGAGUUGAUGCUUAACUAGAUACUGUCCAGAAUCUUCAGUAAAGUUUCUGCUUCUGUUGCUGCUUUAUUAGCUCGGUGUUGAUCUGGGGCAUACUAGUCAAAGUGCCAUCACACAAUGACAUAAGGAUUGUCAAUCAAUGUACUGCUUCCUUCAUGGAGGAACUCUUACUAUGAAACACCUAUAGAAAACAUUUGCUUGCCCUUUUCUCAGGAAAGCAAAGGAAAUUAGUAUUUAUAAGAAAAUCACUUCUUAAUACUUAACACAGCAACCACUUUAUCUCCAGAAGUUUCUCCUUGAGAAAUAUUGUGAAGAGGGAUUGACUUUUGAUUGUUUACCCUUGUGUUUUCUCAAGCAGCAAGACAAGGCUCUCAAACGCAGCUGAGCAACCAUCACAGCUAAUCACACCCUCAAAUGCGACACAUCGAUCUGAUGGGAGAAACUCUUGGGUGCCUGCAGAUUAUUUUAAACUGGGGAGGGGGGGGUCUUGUUAGCAACAAAGAAAUAAGGAGGUAACUUUUUAAAAAUUGCAAGUCUGUACUUCGCAUGAGUAGCAGAAUAUGGCAAUAGAUGAGACAAAGAGCCAAAAAUUAUCCCUGCAACUAUGGACUAGGAAGAGAGCAGUUUUGUACACAUAUAGCAGAUUACAAGUUGACCACAAAUUGAAUAUAAGUCAACAGUGUUCAUGAUUUCAGGAUGUACAAACGAAAGUCUGAGGUAUAUGAUUGGAAAAGAAUCCUAAAAUC